CAUGGGGCUUGAACUCACAAACCGAUGAGAUCGUGACCUGAGCCAAAGUCUGAUGCUUAACCAACUGAGCCACCCAGGCGCCCCCCCAAAAAAGUAGACUUUUAAAUGGAGUGGAGAAGGAAAUAUAACCGAGAAUAUUCUAUAUGAGACUUUAGGCUAUCAGAUACUCCCAAGGGAUGGUAAGUAAUUACCGGGGUUGGUAAUAAUGGUGAAGGGUGGUAUUAGGAGCAUAGAGAAGCAGUAAAUGUACCUGGGAAACAGGCUAAGUGAGGAAGAACAAUGGACACCACUGGUCAUGCAUACAUGUGCUGGUCUAGGCUUUGAUGGAGCAGACAAGUAAAAAAAAAAAAGGUUCACCUGGAACUUGAAUCAUAUGCAGUUGCUUCUCCUGACGAUUCUUCAACUUCUUUUUAAGAAUCCAUAGAACUACCCAUGGACUGUCUUUUCACAAAACCAGUAUUUCUGGCCCUCAGGGUAUGGUCCAGUUCAACUUUCCAAAUACAUACAUAGACAGGUCAGAUCACUCAAGCAGAGAGAAGACUGGAAGAUAGGACAAAAUCCCUUUUUACUAGCCGUUGGGAGCUGGAAUUGAAAUUACCAUCCCUCUGUGUUGAAGAAGUCCUAAGGCUGCUAUUUCUAUUGGACUUGGGGCAAGAGAUGUUGUCGGGGGUCUUGCCUUUGACAUGGAUUCCAGCUACAUGCUCCUCAAAGGUAAGGGCUGUAUUAUUCACCUUUUCUUGUAUUCACCCUU